rnacentral:tRNA from 1 species
UAUAUUUUAGUGUACGAAGCACAAAAGAUUUUGAUUUUUUUAGAUACAGUUUAAUUCUGUUAAAUAUAA